rnacentral:lncRNA from 1 species
CGUGGUUACCAUCAUGCUGUGUGAUGCUCCUCAGAAUCCUAGAAUUAGACUAGAUUUUCCACUUUCCGCACACAUCUUCAGGUGGGGUCGCAAAUACUCCAUAUGACAGACUAUCACAUACGCUGGCCACAGAACUUCAAUUAUUCAGGCUCUCACCACACACUUGUUCAUGGGCGCAGCAAAGAAGAGGGAUCCACAGAGCUGGAGCCGUGAGGGCUGACACAUUGGAAUGAAAGCUGGCAGAAUUCGUAGGGAGAGCUUUCCCAUCCUGCCAGCCCCAUGUCUGGCUUUAAGACAGUUCUAUUAGUGAAUUAACUGUUCUCAAAACCCCAAAUUAAUUUGAACCGAAUGUUACUAAAAAUGAAAUAGAAUAAAGUGACCUACUCUUGCCUCAUCUGGAGUUAUUACGAAGGAGCUCCGCAGCCUGACUGAGCUCUGGAGAGCAGGGCUCUGUGCACACGCCUCCUGGUCCAGAGGCCUCCGUGACCAUCCAUGAUGCCACUCUGUCCCCUCAGCAAGCUGCCUUUUUCUUCCUAGCACCUGCCCCAGCGGUGGUAUGUUUUCCAGUCAGUUACCACCUGUCUCAUCAGAAUGGAAGCUCCAUGAGAGCAGGGCCUUUGUCUUGUCCCCGUGUAUCUCCAGUGCAUAGGACAGUGCUGACACAGUGCAGAGUCUAAAUAAACG